AUCUAAAUUAUUUUCACAGAAGUAAUGUGCAAGCUUAAUGGAAAAUAUGAUGCAGAUUCAUUGCUCUACUUGCUCAGUCAUUUUGAAUGUGAGGGCCACACAGUACACAUGCUCACUGAAUGGUGUCUACCGCCCCCACUGACUAGUACAGUGAAGUCGUCAUUGUUC